rnacentral:tRNA from 1 species
GGGGGUAUAGCUCAGUUGGUAGAGUGCUUGCCUCACAUGCAUAAGGCCCUGGAUUCAAUCCUCAGUACCACCC